rnacentral:lncRNA from 1 species
UUUUGGGGAGAAUUUGGGGGGUUUGGGGGACUCAACUCCAAUGGUCAUUUUUAGAAGUGCCUCGGGGACGAUUUGGGGUCAUUUGGGCUGAUUUUGGGGCAGUUGGGUGGUGAGUUUUUUUUGGGGGGGGGGCUGGGCCCAUUUUGGGGAGAUUUCGGGCGAUUUUGGGGUGGUUUGGGGGUGAUUUUGGGGUGAAUCCGUCGCGUUCUGGAUGCGCUGCGUUGGGGGAGGGAUUUUGGGGUGAUUUGGGGCGAUUUUGGGGUGCAGGGGGGGAGCCGCUGCCCGAGGUCUCCUCCCGCGUCUUCGAGGACGACGACAACCCCAAACUGAGCUCCACCGAGGUCACCGUCCGGACGGGACCCCGCUGGCGGCCCCGUGGCAGGCCGAGCGCCCCGCGGGGCCGUCCCAGUGGUCGCACUGGUCGGUUACUGGUGGCACUGGGCCGGAGCCCUGGGCGCACUGGGAGCACUGGGAGCACUGGGAGCUGUCCCGCAGCCGGGUGACGCUGGCGGUGGCCCCGGGGGACGACGGAGCCACCGUGCGGUGUCACAGCCACAGCCCCGCCGGGGGGGGGGGCACGGCCAGCGUCAC